GACGAACGCUGGCGGCGUGCUUAACACAUGCAAGUCGAACGGAAAGGCCCUGCUUUUGUGGGGUGCUCGAGUGGCGAACGGGUGAGUAACACGUGAGUAACCUGCCCUUGACUUUGGGAUAACUUCAGGAAACUGGGGCUAAUACCGGAUAGGAGCUCCUGCUGCAUGGUGGGGGUUGGAAAGUUUCGGCGGUUGGGGAUGGACUCGCGGCUUAUCAGCUUGUUGGUGGGGUAGUGGCUUACCAAGGCUUUGACGGGUAGCCGGCCUGAGAGGGUGACCGGCCACAUUGGGACUGAGAUACGGCCCAGACUCCUACGGGAGGCAGCAGUGGGGAAUAUUGCACAAUGGGCGGAAGCCUGAUGCAGCAACGCCGCGUGCGGGAUGACGGCCUUCGGGUUGUAAACCGCUUUCGCCUGUGACGAAGCGUGAGUGACGGUAAUGGGUAAAGAAGCACCGGCUAACUACGUGCCAGCAGCCGCGGUGAUACGUAGGGUGCGAGCGUUGUCCGGAUUUAUUGGGCGUAAAGGGCUCGUAGGUGGUUGAUCGCGUCGGAAGUGUAAUCUUGGGGCUUAACCCUGAGCGUGCUUUCGAUACGGGUUGACUUGAGGAAGGUAGGGGAGAAUGGAAUUCCUGGUGGAGCGGUGGAAUGCGCAGAUAUCAGGAGGAACACCAGUGGCGAAGGCGGUUCUCUGGGCCUUUCCUGACGCUGAGGAGCGAAAGCGUGGGGAGCGAACAGGCUUAGAUACCCUGGUAGUCCACGCUGUAAACGGUGGGUACUAGGUGUGGGGUCCAUUCCACGGGUUCCGUGCCGUAGCUAACGCUUUAAGUACCCCGCCUGGGGAGUACGGCCGCAAGGCUAAAACUCAAAGGAAUUGACGGGGCCCCGCACAAGCGGCGGAGCAUGCGGAUUAAUUCGAUGCAACGCGUAGAACCUUACCUGGGUUUGACAUGGAUCGGGAGUGCUCAGAGAUGGGUGUGCCUCUUUUGGGGUCGGUUCACAGGUGGUGCAUGGCUGUCGUCAGCUCGUGUCGUGAGAUGUUGGGUUAAGUCCCGCAACGAGCGCAACCCUUGUUCACUGCUGCCAGCACGUUAUGGUGGGGACUCAGUGGAGACCGCCGGGGUCAACUCGGAGGAAGGUGGGGAUGACGUCAAGUCAUCAUGCCCCUUAUGUCCAGGGCUUCACGCAUGCUACAAUGGCUGGUACAGAGAGUGGCGAGCCUGUGAGGGUGAGCGAAUCCCGGAAAGCCGGUCUCAGUUCGGAUUGGGGUCUGCAACUCGACCUCAUGAAGUCGGAGUCGCUAGUAAUCGCAGAUCAGCAACGCUGCGGUGAAUACGUUCCCGGGGCU
rnacentral:rRNA from 1 species